rnacentral:rRNA from 1 species
CCUACGGGUGGCUGCAGUGGGGGAUAGUGCACAAUGGGGGGAACCCUGAUGCAGCGACGCCGCGUGGGUGAAGAAGCGCCUCGGCGCGUAAAGCCCUGUCAGCAGGGAAGAAAAUGACGGUACCUGAAGAAGAAGCCCCGGCGAACGACGUGCCAGCAGCCGCGGUAAUACGUAGGGGGCAAGCGUUAUCCGGAUUUACUGGGUGGAAAGGGGGCGCAGACGGCGCUGCAAGCCAGGAGUGAAAGCCCGGGGCCCAACCCCGGGACUGCUCUUGGAACUGCGUGGCUGGAGUGCAGGAGGGGCAGGCGGACUUCCUGUUGUAGCGGUUAAAUUCGUCGAUAUCAGGAGGCACACCGGUGGC